CGGGGAGACCGCGUUUAGAGGAUCAGUGGCGGCGGGCCCGCGCGGUGCCGGCGACUAGCAGCGAGAUGUCCUGGCCCCUUCCAGGUUUGGAGAUGGCCUUGGGAGAGCAACCUCCGGACCUCAGCAGUGUGAGGAUGACAACAGUACCCUGUGGUGCUGUCCCCACUCAGGUUGGCUGCCAUCCCUGCUGAUGGAGAGAGGCUGAAGUCUGUCUGAGAAGAUAGUGCAGGCAGCUACUUAGCUGGUACUAAUUGUAUUUGCAGAGUAGGGGGUUUCUCUCUGUAGCCCCGACUGUCCUGGAACUCACUCUGCAGACCAGGCUGUCCUCAAGCUCAGAGAUCUACCUGCCUCUGCCUCUGAAGUACUGGGAUUAAAGAUGCAGAGGCCUCCCAGAGAAGUGUGAAGGAAUGGGCCUUAACCAGGGUUGAAGAAAGAAAGUGAAGAAGGGGAGAGCCCAAGGAAAGGUGGGGACAGUUGGAACUUUUGUUUACACUGGUCUACUACUCAUGUAUCGUAUGCUAUAAUCUCCAAAUUCCACAUUUAUUGUAGCUGUCUGCAGUGUGUAUGCCCCGGCCGCAUGCUGCUUGGCUAAAAAAGUGUUAAAUAAAACUGUAAGAAACGCUA